rnacentral:rRNA from 1 species
AUUGAACGCUGGCGGCAGGCCUAACACAUGCAAGUCGAGCGGAUGAGAAGAGCUUGCUCUUCGAUUCAGCGGCGGACGGGUGAGUAAUGCCUAGGAAUCUGCCUGGUAGUGGGGGACAACGUUUCGAAAGGAACGCUAAUACCGCAUACGUCCUACGGGCGAAAGCAGGGGACCUUCGGGCCUUGCGCUAUCAGAUGAGCCUAGGUCGGAUUAGCUAGUUGGUGAGGUAAUGGGUCACCAAGGCGACGAUCCGUAACUGGUCUGAGAGGAUGAUCAGUCACACUGGAACUGAGACACGGUCCAGACUCCUACGGGAGGCAGCAGUGGGGAAUAUUGGACAAUGGGCGAAAGCCUGAUCCAGCCAUGCCGCGUAUGUGAAGAAGGUCUUCGGAUUGUAAAGCACUUUAAGUUGGGAGGAAGGGCAGUAAGUUAAUACCUUGCUGUUUUGACGUUACCGACAGAAUAAGCACCGGCUAACUCUGUGCCAGCCGCCGCUGUAACAC